rnacentral:rRNA from 1 species
GACGAACGCUGGCGGCGUGCUUAACACAUGCAAGUCGAGCGGUAAGGCCCCUUCGGGGGUACACGAGCGGCGAACGGGUGAGUAACACGUGAGCAAUCUGCCCUUCACACGGGGAUAACUUCGGGAAACCGGAGCUAAUACCCGAUACGACCACCUCGGGCAUCCGAUGGUGGUGGAAAGCUCCGGCGGUGAAGGAUGAGCUCGCGGCCGAUCAGAUUGUUGGGGGGGUAACGGCCCACCAAGGCAACGACGGGUAGCCGGCCUGAGAGGGUGACCGGCCACACUGGGACUGAGACACGGCCCAGACGCCUACGGGAGGCAGCAUUGGGGAAUAUUGGACAAUGGGCGAAAGCCUGAUCCAGCAACGCCGCGUGAGGGGUGACGGCCUUCGGGUUGUAAACCUCUUUCAGCAGGGACGAAGCGCAAGUGACGGUACCUGCAGAAGAAGCACCGGCCAACUACGUGCCAGCAGCCGCGGUAACAC